rnacentral:rRNA from 1 species
AUGGAAGAAGAGUUUCAGGCACUUCAGAGAAAUAAAACUUGGCACUUAGUUCCUGCACACCACGGUAAAAAUCUAAUUGAUUGCAAGUGGGUGUUCAGGAUAAAGAAGAAAUCAGAUGGUACAAUAGAUUUCUAUAAAGCCAGACUUGUUGCAAAAGGAUUCAAGCAAAGGUAUGGUAUAGAUUAUGAGGACACAUUUAGUCCUGUUGUCAAGGCUGCUACUAUUCGUCUCGUUCUGUCCAUUGCUGUAUCCAGAGGAUGGUGUCUCAGACAGCUAGACAUACAGAACGCGUUCCUUCAUGGUGUUCUGGAAGAGGAAGUCUAUAUGAAACAACCUCCUGGUUUUGAGGAUAAGCAUAAACCAUUUCAGGUAUGCAGGCUUGACAAAUCUUUGUAUGGACUAAAGCAGGUUCCUAGGGCAUGGUACUCUCGUUUGAGUUCAAAACUGCAGACACUUGGUUUUACUCCAUCUAGAUCUGAUACAUCAUUGUUUAUUUAUAAUAAGUCAAAUACGUCCAUAUUUGUGCAUAUAUAUGUUGAUGAUAUCAUCGUCACCAGUUCAUCCAAUGAUGCAGUCACAGCUUUAUUGAAAGAUCUGAACUCAGAGUUUGCUCUCAAGGAUCUAGGAGACCUGCAUUUCUUCCUUGGGAUUGAGGUUAAGAAAACUAGAGAAGGUGUCCUCCAUAUCUCCCAAGAAAAAUAUGCAACUGAUCUUUUGAACAGAGUAGGUUUGCAGGGUUGUAAACCGUCACCUACACCAUUAUCCAACACAGAAAAAUUGUCUCUUGCAGAAGGUGAAAUACUGAAUCAGGAAGAUGGCACCAAAUAUAGGAGUCUGGUAGGUGCACUUCAAUACUUGACAUUAACCAGACCCGAUAUUUCCUUUGCUGCAAAUAAAGUAUGUCAGUUUCUUCAUGCUCCCACUUCAUCACAUUGGACUGCUGCGAAACGUAUAUUGAGAUAUGUGAAGAAUACUUUAAGUGUUGGUCUCACAUUUAAUAAGUCUUCAUCCACACUUUUCAGUGCUUUCUCUGACUCUGACUGGGCAGGGUGUUUGGAUGAUAGACGAUCAACAGGUGGUUUUGCAGUAUUCUUUGGGCCAAACUUGAUAUCAUGGUGUGCAAGGAAACAUGCCACAGUUUCAAGAUCGAGCACUGAAGCAGAGUAUAAGGCGUUGGCGAAUGCCACAGCAGAAAUUAUCUGGGUCAAAUCUAUGUUAAAGGAACUUGGGAUGAGUCAUAUACAAACUCCGUGUCUUUGGUGUGAUAAUCUCGGUGCCACUUACUUGUCAGCUAAUCCUGUUUUCCAUGCUCGAACAAAGCAUAUUGAAAUUGAUUAUCACUUUGUCAGAGAAAGAGUUGCCAGCAAAGAAUUGGAAAUUCGGUUUGUGCAUUCAAAAGAUCAAGUUGCAUAUGGGUUUACAAAAGCAUUGUCUACCAAACCAUUUGAGGAAUUUAAACGUAAUCUUAACUUGGUGAAGUUAUGA